rnacentral:lncRNA from 1 species
CAAGUUUCUUCCUGUUCAGAGAAGCAUAAUAUUUGGCAGGCUAACAUGCCAUCCUUCCCAAUCACUUUGUACUUUCCUUUGUUUUAUUCUGCACAAGUAGCAUUUUUUUCAUGGACUAUCUGUGGGUUACAAAACAUAUGUAGUUGAGAAGAAGACAUUUAAAAGACACUCCUUCUCUCAGAAGAUCAAAUCUUAAAUAUAUAAGCUGUUGAAAUGGAAGUUUUCUUAGUGAUAAUUAUAUCCAGCUUUUCUCUAAUGAAUAUUUCCUUUCCAUAUCUGAAUAUGUUGAACCACACUUUGCUUGGAAACCUUCUAAAAGUUUUUUAACAUUUAUUCAUUUUUGAGGAACAGAGGAGAGACAGAGCACGAGUGGAGGAUGGGCAGAGAGAGAAGGAAUCUGAUGCAAGCUCCAUGUUCCAAGCUCCAAACUGUCAGCACAGAGCCUGAUAUGGGGCUCGAACCCACAAACCAUGAGAUCAUAACCUGAGCUGAAGUCAGACACUUAAGUGACUGAGCCACCCAGGCACACCUGCUUGGAAAUCUUCUAAUGAAAGGAAACCUAUAUUUCAAGCAUAGAACUCCAUCUACUGCUUUUCAUCAUGGUGUACUGAGAAGACCAGUCGGCAGGGAAAACCGUGGACUCACCCAAACUCUGUCACGAGGCGUGGUAAGAAUUGGGGAUGCUAUUCUGCCUAAAAUGAUGCUAACCUACCUAAAAGUCAGUCUCUUCAUCUGCCUCUAAGUCUCUCAGAACUUUGAUUUUACACUGCUUCAUAACUUAGUGCUGUUUGUAAAACAAAACAAAGCAAACAGAGCAAAAACCAACAUAUAAGUAUUGUCAUUAAAAGUGUUAAAUUAGUUUGGAUCCCGUGGGGGAAAAAACCUACAACUGCUUUGGUAAUCAUUAGCCACAAAUUUGACUCCCUCGAAUAUUUCUCCUAUUCUCUCAAGACAAGAAAUAUGAGGUCAAAGAUGCCACCUGUAUGCACAUUCUUAAUUCUUGGCUAAGCUUUCUACAAGCUCUGUUUACUCUCUUCUGCAAAGCAAUAAACUUUUCAACUCUCAUUCUUAAAUCCUAGAC